AGUGAACGCUGGCGGUAGGCCUAACACAUGCCAGUCGAACGGCAGCACAGUAAGAGCUUGCUCUUACGGGUGGCGAGUGGCGGACGGGUGAGGAAUACAUCGGAAUCUACUUUUUCGUGGGGGAUAACGUAGGGAAACUUACGCUAAUACCGCAUACGACCUACGGGUGAAAGCAGGGGAUCUUCGGACCUUGCGCGAUUGAAUGAGCCGAUGUCGGCUUAGCUAGUGGGCGGGGUAAAGGCCCACCAAGGCGACGAUCCGUAGCCGGUCUGAGAGGAUGAUACGCCACACUGGAAGUGAGACACGGUCCAGACGCCUACGGGAGGCAGCAGUGGGGAAUAUUGGACAAUGGGCGCAAGCCUGAUCCAGCCAUACCGCGUGGGUGAAGAAGGCCUUCGGGUUGUAAAGCCCUUUUGUUGGGAAAGAAAAGCAGCAGGUUAAUACCCCGCUGUUCUGACGGUACCCAAAGAAUAAGCACCGGCUAACUUCGUG
rnacentral:rRNA from 1 species